CCUGGUUGAUCCUGCCAGUAGUCAUAUGCUUGUCUCAAAGAUUAAGCCAUGCAUGUGUAAGCACACACUGUUUUAAAAGUGAAGCCGCGAAUGGCUCAUUACAACAGCCACAGUUUAUUAGAACUUACAAUCAUGGAUAACUGUGGUAAUUCUAGAGCUAAUACACGCACAAAACUUCAACUGAAUUGGUUGAAGUGCUUUUAUUAGAACAAAAACCGAACGGCGUUUGGCGAAUGUUGAACGUCGAAACUGUUUGGUGAAUCUGAAUAACUAUUUCUGAUCGCAUGGUCUAGCACCGGCGACAUCACUUUCAAGUGUCUGCCUUAUCAACCUUCGAUGGUAGUCUAUGCGACUACCAUGGUGAUAACGGGUAACGGAGAAUCAGGGUUCGACUCCGGAGAGGGAGCCUGAGAAACGGCUACCACAUCCAAGGAAGGCAGCAGGCGCGCAAAUUACCCACUCCCAGCUUGGGGAGGUAGUGACGAAAAAUAACGAGACGAUUCUCGUUUGAGAAACGUUAUCGAAAUGAGUACGCUUUACACACGCUAACGAGUAGCAAUUGGAGGGCAAGUCUGGUGCCAGCAGCCGCGGUAAUUCCAGCUCCAAUAGCGUAUAUUAAAGUUGCUGCGGUUAAAACGCUCGUAGUUGAAUUGUGGUCUUAGACAACAGUCCCCCUACAUAGGUGUGGCACGGUUGCUCGAGAUCUUCAUUCGUGGUUGCUGUUGUUGCUCUUCAUUGAGUGUCAAUGGUGCCUCGAGAUUUUACUUUGAAAAAAUUAGAGUGCUCAAAGCAGGUUGUGAUGCCUGAAUAAUGGUGCAUGGAAUAAUAGAAUACGAUCUCGGUUCUAUUUUGUUGGUUUUCGAACCGGAGAUAAUGAUUGAAAGGAACAGACGGGGCAUUCGUAUUGCUGCGUUAGAGGUGAAAUUCUUGGAUCGCAGCAAGAUGAACAAUUGCGAAAGCAUUUGCCAAGAAUGUUUUCAUUAAUCAAGAACGAAAGUUAGAGGUUCGAAGGCGAUCAGAUACCGCCCUAGUUCUAACGGUAAACUAUGCCAACCAGCGAUUCGCCGAAGUUCAUUUAAGACUCGGCGAGCAGCUUCCGGGAAACCAAAGUGUUUCGGUUCCGGGGGAAGUAUGGUUGCAAAGCUGAAACUUAAAGGAAUUGACGGAAGGGCACCACCAGGAGUGGAGCCUGCGGCUUAAUUUGACUCAACACGGGAAAACUCACCCGGCCCGGACACUGGAAGGAUUGACAGAUUGACAGCUCUUUCUUGAUUCAGUGGGUAGUGGUGCAUGGCCGUUCUUAGUUGGUGGAGCGAUUUGUCUGGUUAAUUCCGAUAACGAACGAGACUCUACCCUAUUAAAUAGUGACAGUAUUGUAUUUUUUGUGCUGAUCACUUCUUAGAGGGACUGGCAAAUUGAAAGCUGCACGAAAAAGAGCAAUAACAGGUCUGUGAUGCCCUUCGAUGUCCGGGGCUGCACGCGCGCUACAAUGAAAGCGUCAACGUGAGUUACGUCCUUACCUGAAAAGGUUUGGCAAUCGAAUGAAACGUUUUCUUGAAUGGAAUAGGGAAUUGCAAUUGUUUCCCUUGAACGAGGAAUUCCCAGUAAGCGUGAGUCAUUAGCUCGCGUUGAUUACGUCCCUGCCCUUUGUACACACCGCCCGUCGCUACUACCGAUUGGAUGAUUUAGUGAGGUGUUUUGACUGGCGCCAGUAGUCGGAUGUAUUCGGCUUCGCGCCGGGAAAUUUCCCAAACCAAAUCAUCUAGAGGAAGUAAAAGUCGUAACAAGGUUUCCGUAGGUGAACCUGCGGAAG
rnacentral:rRNA from 1 species